rnacentral:rRNA from 1 species
CCUACGGGGGGCAGCAGUGAGGAAUAUUGGUCAAUGGACGAGAGUCUGAACCAGCCAAGUAGCGUGAAGGAUGACUGCCCUAUGGGUUGUAAACUUCUUUUAUAUGGGAAUAAAAUGUUCCACGUGUGGGAUUUUGUAUGUACCCUAUGAAUAAGGAUCGGCUAACUCCGUGCCCGCAGCCGCGGUAAUACGGAGGAUCCGAGCGUUAUCCGGAUUUAUUGGGGUUAAAGGGAGCGUAGGUGGAUUGUUAAGUCAGUUGUGAAAGUUUGCGGCUCAACCGUAAAAGUGCCGUUGAAACUGGCAGUCGUGAGUACAGUUGAGGUAGGCGGAAUUCGUGGUGUAGCGGUGAAAUGCUUAGAUAUCACGAAGAACUCCGAUUGCGAAGGCAGCUUACUAAACUGCCACUGACAUUGAUGCUCGAAAGUGUGGGUAUCAAACAGGAUUAGAUACCCGGGUAGUC